rnacentral:lncRNA from 1 species
CUUAAUCCUCUUUGAGAUGGAAAGAACCCCUCUGGAGUGCCAUUCACAAGAAUGGAGAAUCUAACAUUAUUAAUGCAGAAGUGAAUCCACUUAAUCCAUUUACAGCCAAAACCCAUAUCUUUCAAAAGCUUGAUAAGGGAAUUCCAAUUUACGUGAUCGAAAGCUUUUUCCAUAUCAAGUUUGCACAACACCUCUGGAUCUUUCCCCCUAAUUCUGGAGUCAACACAUUCAUUAGCUAUUAAAGCUGCAUCCAUGA